AGUAGCUAGAGCAACAGGCAAAAGUUCGUUUCCGGAUUUCCGGAAUAUCCUCAAUUUCGCGGUUAUAAUUUGUUAAUAAUUGAGCAUUGGUUGUGCCGUUGGUGGAGGGUCUCUCGCUGGCCAACUGGCUCCAGGUGUGUGCAUGGGGAGCGUGGCGGACGCGUGCUUCUCCCCUCUUUAACCCUCAGUGCUCUUGAGAGGUCGUGUAAAGGAAGACACGACCUCUUCGAUAUUUACCCCAGGAAUCCAUACUUGUACUAGGAAGCAGGUGAUUCAAGGAAAACUAACUGAUCUCUCGAAAUGCCGAAAAGGAAGGUGCGAAAAUUUUCAAAGACUGCCGCUGCGAAUGGUUUGUUUCAUGGAUACGGUCGUUAGAAUGGUCGGCAAGUUAGCCUAUUUUGUUCGUAACUGGUGCAAUUCUACGAAAACUCCGAGGCUCGAGGAUUUCCAGUGUGAAUUUAACGUAUCACUGUAUAUAGCCUGUUAUGCUCUUCUGUUUUGGUAUCGUUAUACAGUAUGUUACGGAAAUUAAGGGGAUGCUGCAAGGUUCACGACCCCGUCGGGUCAUCUUUUGGGAUGCUCCCACGAGUAAUACGUAUACGAAGUAUGCCAAUAGCCUGGUCUCUGGUUGUCUAUCAAUUACAAGGGAGAUUCCGUGAAACUUAAUCUCAUGAGAAAAGCUCGAGAAGAGUAAGGAGCGUGAGAGAGUCACGUAUUAUAAGAAGCUCGUGUUCCCUGGACCACCGCUAAACUCUCAUUGGAGGUGCACGCAAAUUUGAUAUCGCACGAAAAUUCCUCGUUAUUUGCACGAGUAACUAGACCUCACGCCUUUUGGGUACUUAUGUAUUGAUUGACCUUCAUUGCGUGACGAUUUCAUGGGAAAUUAAGCAGGAGUUAUUUUCUCGGAAAUUUGUCACAUUCCGUGUCUCGUAUGAGAAAUGAAACACCGUAAAGGUAUUACAGCGAUAAUCGUUAGCACGCAACUUUUGGUGUACUUAAGAAUUGUGAAAUAAUAAUAUUCGCUUGGAUCACCCACGAUGAAAAGUCAAUGGCAUAAUGGCGUGACGGAUUUGUGACGGUUCACCCAUAUUUUCAUAGUCUCCACCUCUUUCAUCUGUUUGGUGAGUGUGAACUGUACUCAUUUACCUCUACGGCUGCCGCUAACUGUCUGUCCAUAAUUCUCGAAGGAGGUCCCGAAGGAAGAAAGCCUUUAGUUACCACUGCCACAAAGUGUCUUAAGGGCCUCCAAGGAUUUCCUAAACCAUUUUCGUUUUGUCUCUGUUCUUAUUUUCCUCUUGUUUCCACGAUAGGCAACAAGUCUUCGGCGAAAAAUUAACACUCAGGAUUUAACAAUUGGAUGGAGGUCAAGUGUCGAAGCGUCGAUUGCCCUUUUAAGUACUUGAACACAAAUUCCAAUUGAGGACCAAGACUAGGACCCAACCGUGGCACCAGAAGAUCACUUGACUCUCCUCCUAAUCCCGUCAAGAGCACAUGACUUGACGCCUUCCACAUUCACACGUAGUUUCUCUUUAUGUUUCUUGGCGUCAUAAAGAUGAAUGAACCGUCAACGGGUAAGGAUGAAUGGUUAGGAUCAGAGCUGAGAGUUUAGCAGAUUUAAUUUCUUCGCUACUCGGCAAACCUUUAUGGGUGGUCAAGAUAAUUGUAACGGUUUUGGAAAAAAGAAGGAAGUAGGUCAUUAACAAAAUCUUAAGUCGCUUAUAUAAUAAUUACGGUCCUUGUAUUUACAGUAGUACAUUUUUACUAAGAGCUCAUUUUGUGCAAUAAUUUUACGUACUUAACGUAUACGCAGAAAAUUUUAUGGUAGCCAUUUUGGGCCUUUCUAAUCCGCUUAUAAAAUGGUCACCGAUAUACAUUUUAUUAGUAGCAGCACAUUCUGCACAAUAUUUUUAUACGUUUAUUUGUAAAGAUUCGCCAGGAAAGAAUCGAUGCAACACAAGCCUUAUCCACCGUGCUGUAACCUUCGUUUACAGUCAGGAAUUAGGAGCGCUUUGACAUACCUAAUCUUCUGAAAUAUAUUCGAAUAAUGAAGUUAACAGAGAAAUAUAUCGUGUCGGAUUAAAUCCUAUUAUAGACGAUGCCGCGGUCUUAAUGCAUGGCAAUAAAAGGUGUUAAUAAUAAUCCUACCGGUUACUAAUAUAAUAUGGGUCAGGAUACGUUCAAUAAGGAUUAAACUGAUAAUAAAUCGGGCGCCAACCUUUUCAAAAGUUGCGGGCUUGACUACGUUGGUCGAAAAUCAAAAAUAAAGAAAGAAAAAAGAAGCACGCCAUCUUUCAGGAACGGGUCAAGAUCUCGUGUCUCUUUGGUCUUGUCCUUCUCUUUCUUUAUUUUCUCGGCCGGAACUCACUUGGGCGUCUCAGCUGGGAGCGUUUUUAGCCAUGUACCUUUGUCCUAGUUAUUAAUCAUGCUACAGCUACCGCGGCUAUUUUAACAUUAAGUGAGACAUCUCUUGGCGACAUAAGUCACCGCCACAUACUGUGAGAUUAAUUCGAGAAACUUCUAUUCGCAGCGGGUUAUCGUGGAUCUUGCGAUACAAGGACGCAAGGACAAUUCCUUAAUGGCGUCCUCGGAUUCGACGAGUCGAUUAAUCUGUGUCUUACUUAUCGUACCUACCUGGGUAGUCUUGUCAUAUUUUGUGAAACAAGAUGGCAAAAGGUGGUCGAAACGGAGGAUUUACACGAGACGAAAUUCUUUCCGCAUUUUCAAAAUCCCAGGAAAUCCAUUGGCGGUAUAAUUACUACCGCUUGGCAGCUAAUUUUAUCCUUUAGCAAGGGUUUUUAUUAAUAAAUCGGCUCCAUUAUGUGAUAAAGUGCGGUGGGUCUAUGUAUAAAAGGUCGCUUGCCGCUGACUUAUGUGGGCAUCCGAAGAGGAGCACGUGAUAAAUGGGUACCUAAUGCCCACUGGUCCUCUCGUGAUGCCCAUUCUACCUGAAACAUAUGUAUAUAAUACAGUACAUAUGUAUAGUAUACCCCAUUAGAUAUCCUUAUUUAUAAGUUACUCUGUCGCCCCAAUUGGAAUCUGUGGAGAAAUUCAAUUUUUGAGGUUUCUUCAAAUUUCAGAUAAGAAUAAUUGCAAGAAAUUUAUCAAGAUCAAUUGACCUCUUAGCUGCUCCCUGUCUCAGAAUCUGUGACAGUAGGUAUCAAGACUAUAAAGAAAGGAGUCAGCAAUUCAGGACUCGUGCUGCUUUGCCAGGAUAAUUACGAUUAUUAAGCCAAGUCUGUGCUGGUAAUUUAGCUCGAGGGAAUCAUGGGAACCAGGGGAGUUCUUUGAUCCUGAUCCUGGAUCCCCCAACCAACACGAGUACCACUAAGACUCGAGUGGGAUAUAAACCGUUCUCGCGCAUCCGCGACGAGGUCAUCGAAAUUUCACAAAGGAUAACAGACAAGCAUCCUCGCAGAAGCAUAUUAGAUUCGCAUAAAUCCAAAAGGAAAAUAUCAUUAGCAAACCGUAAAAGCGAACUGGAAAAAAUUCAAUUUUUAUUUUUACCAAUGAAAUCUUCCAAUCAUGACCAAGUCACUCAGGACACGUUUAUCGCGACUGUACAAUGUAAUACAAAAGUUUCGCACGUUAAUUGCUGACUCGAACUUCUCAUUCUAAACGGUCAUCAGCUCAUCAUUAUAAUUUAGCAGUACUCCAACCACCUCGAGCCAUCCAGAUGGUGACCUAUCAAAGUUAUAGUUGUCGGCGGACCUGCUAGUCGCUGGACCUGUGAUUUAGAUGGGGCCAAUAAUCCGUUCACACACUUGGGUACAAACCAGAUAAAUUCAUUGGCCGCUGGACAAUGAAGCUCUUACGCUACAGUUGCCAGGGGGAGUUAUAUCUUUAUAAUGGUUACUGAGUUAAAAAUGACUUGUCAUAAAUAGUUGUGACUAUACAGUACUGAAGCAGAUCAAAUCUGAAACGGUUUUAUCUCGAUAUUUUGAAGAGGGUCCAUCAGAAUAAUGUGCGUGAUAAGUUUUUUUUUGUGUAUCAGACUGUCUGAUUGUUUUGUUUUAUCAAUUCUCAUUGGACUCUUGUACUCUUGAAUUAUUCAACAACGUGCCAUUGUAAAUUUGGUGGAAUUUGCAUUUGAGCACCCGAAUGAAAUGUAGGACAGGUGCAUAUCAAUUGUAUUGCGAUUGAUUCGCCAAAUAUAUUAUGUCAAGGUGAAGCCAAUUCAAGUGAAAGCGAGGAAAUGAGGGGAAAAGGAAAGAGGAUUUGACAACAUCCGGGACUUUAUUACUCAUAAAGUACAGGUUCCUGCUCCAAAUUUUCAGACUAAACGUCGAUAAUGUCUUAAUCAACUGCGACCACGUAACACCUCCACUUUCGUCGCCGCCUACAUCCGCUGCGGUGAAACCAAUAAGCGUUUGUUGGUUUUUGAUACUUUUUAGAAUCGAGAACCUUGAAGGAUCCGGUAUAAUUACGACCUCACAAUAUAUAUCCUGAUAUUAUAUAUAUAUUCCAGGAAGGAAACCCAAUAUUCCCCAUAUUAGGUAUCUCCGUUCUCCAUUAUGAAAAACCAUAGGAAAUGGAAGAAAAGAGACCAGUGAAAACGACACUUUACGUAAUAACGUGGAUAAAUAAUUAUUUCCACAAUAAAAUGUCGAAAUUCAAAAAGGGAAUAUGAAAAAAGUAUAUGAGGAAGAAUAAGAAAAACGGAUAUUCCACGUAACCCCAAUCUCAGGUCACCUAAUUUAAUAGAGCAAUUAAGUUAAUACUUUGGGAGGAGUCCGUUAUUAUAUCCCCAUUAAUUAUAUGGAGCUGCGCGAUCGAAUCAGUGUUCGCGUUAUUUGAUUAUCGAAUUAAGCUCGUAUAAACUAACAAAGGGGUGGAGUAGCUUUUAUAUUUUUUUUUGCAGACCUUGAACCGUGCAAAUUUAUCAUCAGAAGAUUGAACCAUGAGAAAUUCAUCAAUGAUGAUAGCUGUCAUGAUGAUCGUGCGACUUGCGUAUAACAAGAUGCACCUAUAAUUUUUGAUAAUAGAUUGCUACAGAGCAGACUGAAUAUUAUUAUGAAUAAUUGAAUUAAAAAAUCCGAUAGGCUCGCUUUAACUGCCACUAUUAAACGAUUGGCUGCUUUAAUAAAAUCGUGUAUUGCCUUUGGUAAAUUGGGGUGCUUUAAGAUUCUAUUAGCAUUACAGAUUUAUCUCGCAGUCCCUACGGUUAUUUCAUUUCAACCGGUUACCAGCCCUGGAUUAUAUUAUUACCAUAGCCAUAGAUACUAUACAAUUUAUCUUGUCAUAUAUGCACUUCUUCUUAAUUCCAUUUAUGCUGCGGUGGUAGUCAGUCUGACAAUUAAGUCUUAAAAGACUAGAUUGAAUUUUAUAAGUGAACAAUUACUCUACCUUUUAAGUAUAAAAUUAAUUCUGACAUUUAAUUUAUUUCCAUAACAACUAAUUCGAAGUUGAUCGAUUAUUAUACAGCUGUUUCCACAAUACACGUGGCGCAUGUUAUGUCGAUCCUAUCCAAUGUGGUUACUUGCAAACAGAACAGCCACGUGACCCAAUUUAAUUAAGACCCACGGGAAAGGCCUGCGGCUUAUUCAACCGUAUGAAGAAAAAUUAAUCGCACAUACUACAAAUAUUUUUGAUAAAAAUAUUGUGCACGAUCCUUUGUCUUCUACUUAAUUAUCAAAAUUUUGCUCAUUUGAUUUCAGCCUGUCAUGACGUCAUUGCAGCUGGAUAUUCUUGAAGGAAAAAAGGAGUGCAGCGUAUAUGGUACAGCUUGGAGGAUGCUGAAAAGAAUGUAGUUCUAUUAGGCUCCAGUCCAGUUAACGUUAUGACAACCAUCCCUCGUAACAAGCUGGAUGCGUGGGCGGACGUUGGAGUUCUUGCGUUUUCAACAUAUCCCAAGUCCUGACGGGAUAAUAUUCUGCCCCUCAUGCAAUUCGUAUUGCUGCGUUGCACCGCGUCCAUAAGUGCUUUGGAUAGAUAUUUAGGAGCUUAGAGAAAAAUAAAACGAAAUUGAAGCUGAAGUCAGAAUACGAGAUAACUUGCCCAGAACUGACUAUGGCCCAACAAGAAAUUGGGCGUGAGCUGCAUAAUUAAUGUAUAUACUGAACUCGUUUGUUGUGCAGUUUCAAAAUGAGAGGUUCCAACGAAAGAGAUCUUAUUUAUGAUACUUGGACCAGAGUAUACUGACCAUUUGGACUUAGCGAAUAGAAACAUCCCCAAUGUGCUUAUGAAUUAUUAAAACGGACGUGGGUGGUCUUACUAAUUACUGGAAAGCAGAUAAUUGACCUCCGAGUAUCUCAUGUGAUAAAAAUUAAAGACUUGGAUGAAUUUAUAAGAAGCCUAUAAAAAAAAGUCACUGCAAAGAUACAAUUAGUACAUUUCAUUAUCACCUUAUAAGGAGAUAAAGCAGGCGAUCACAAAGCUCAAGCUAUGGGGUGUCUUAAGAGGUGCCAAUUUGGGGUGUAGCAAGGUGCCAUUUCACGCGAUAACUACUUAUUAACCCAUUAAUAAAUAUCGAUGCAAUUAAAUCGCUUGGUCAAACAGUACGUGUCCGAAUACCAUGCCGAAGCAGGUCUCUUAUGCGGGGUAUCAUUAUGGCACCCCUAAUCGGAUCAACCAAGGGGUUGAAUACUGCUUUUAAAAAAAAAAGCAGGAAUAUUAUCCUGUCAUCGUUGGUCUUCCUGGCAUUUCUUCAUUAUAAUUACAUUCUUUAACCCUUUCGAUUUUCGAAAUCUCAUCGAUGGCUGAUUCUUCCUUCCGUCUGCUGGAUGUAUUCAAUAUUUGGAAAAUUUGAAUUUUUAAACUACCCACUAAGAAAGAGCGGCUGUCUGUAAUAAGCGUUCCGCCUCUUCCUCAAUAUCUGUCUGAAGUCUUGAUGCCCUCAACAUAACUUAUGACACGUCACCUGAAACUUAUACGUUAGGAUCCACACGUGGUUGUACAUAAAAAUGUUUCAGCGUGACAACUCAUGAUAAAUUUUACACGGUAAAUACAAUGUGGAUAAGUACAGUCUGUUUCAAGCGGAAAUGACGAAAGAAUCCAGCAAAGAUCAAAGGGACGAUGGGACUGCGAGUAUUAAAAAAUGGUUUUACCCUGGCACCAUUUUUUUUGUUGCGUCGUAAUCCUUUAAAGUAUCAGGACAACGUGAUCCUCAGACCAAAAAGAACUUUGCCUAUAUUUUCGGAGACUUUGGUCCAGAUGGGACAGGAAGCCGUAUAACACAGGACCGCGAUAAAAGCCUUUAGACACCUGCUGGAUCGCACAGAUGCUCUCCGCUUGAUUAUACAAAUGAGCUACUCACCGGAACCACCCGCCGUUCAUAAACGCAUACUCACCCUUAUGUGCGUCGUUACACCCCAAAGCGUUCAACGUUUUGCAGAUAGGAGUUUACAUUUUUUUUUUUUGAGACAUAGAGGUAGUACGACGUCAGGGCCAUAGGGGUAAGCAACAUGAGAAGAGAAUGAUAUUUUUACUCUGUGCUUGUUUAACGCUGUGAUCAUGGGAUUUGUGAGAUUUUGGCAUCUGAUACAAUUUGCUUUCGGAUGAGAAAGAAAAAAUGGACUUUUCUGCCGCAGUGGCCAACGCUGACCAACUGUCAUUUUCAAGAAGCGUGGCUGGCGCGUGCUCUGGUCGCCCUCUUCUCCAUUCUUGACGUCAUGAAAAUUUAUACCUUGGAAGACAUCUUUACUUCCUUGAUACUAUGGAAAUGUAUUCUUUGGGCAUAUGGAAAAUUAUGGCGAAGUCACUUUUC